UCUGUGAGCCUUGGGAGAACGUGUAGAUUUGAAGCUGGUUUCGAUAAAACCAAUUGAAAUAUCUGUUAAAAAUCAAUUGAAAUUGAUUACGUUGCUUAAAGGCAACAAAAUGAUGUCUUAAUUGCAAUUUAGUGAGGAGAGACGGGAUUUAUUUAGUUUUUCCUCUUUUUUUUUUUUUUUUUUUUUUUUUUUUUUUUUUAAUCGAGACAGGGUUUUUCUGUUUAAUUUUGCGCGCUCACUCGGAGUGUGUUUUGUGUGUGUGGUAUAAGGCAAAAAAGGUGGCUGGAGAGACAGCCGUGGGUGCUGGGAACCGAACUCUUAUAUUUUUGGUUGUGAGCCUAGCCUUUAACGGCUGAGCCAUCUCUCCAGCCCGCCCAGGAGGCACAUUCUUGAGCUCAUGUAGCUACCAGGCGUGGCUGAACGUCAUUGCUAUUGAAACUUUCAUCAUUCCCCGAAUUCCUCUCAAAAUCAAAUACAAACAAAACCGAACUCUUGGCGGCGACCAUUUCUCGCCGGCCGACUACUGAUCGCUGCUUCGCCCGAGAACUGAGGACACGGAUUGGAAGAAGGGGGUCGUGUCAGGACGGAAGCGUGGCGUGGGGAGAAGACAGGAGGGUCGGGCGUGUGCAGCUCUGCGUGGACAAGAGCGUGUGAGCUGCACUGGUGCCUAUGCGCCCGGAGGACGCGAAGGAUGCGAUCUGGGUGCGUGGGCGUGAGGGUCUGUGAGGAAACUGGAUCUCGGAAUGGUGUCAGUUCUAGAGAUGUGUUUGGGGGUGGCGUGUGGCCGUGAAUUUGUUUUCGUGUUGUACUUAGAAAAAAAGUGAGUGUUUUCCAGGAGAAAACUGGGAAUUAAAGAAAAAAAAAGUGUGUAGACCAGGCUGUCCUCGAACUCCAGAUCCUUCUGCCUCUGCCUCCUUCAGCAAAUCCUACCGGCCUGCGCCACCAGGACCGGCAGGCGUUGCUGCUGCAACGAUUCUACUUAGCUAUGUAUUCUAUGACGUCACCGCUUUCUCCAACGAGGAGAUUGUAGGGUACAACGCCCAGCAGGCCUUCGCCCCAAACCGCACCGUCAACCUGGCUCAUGCGGUUCUCUGCCGGUCUCACGCACACUUCCCGCCUAACGUCAGCCACCCCUCACUCUAGGGAACCGCAACCUCACGAGCCCCGCCCGAAGCCUCUUUUCGCCCCGCGCCCCCUGCCGGUCACCCCAGCAAACACACUCCCGCACCUUCAGGCGUGCAUUCCUCUGAAUUCUCUGUAUUCCUCCUUGGCUUGCGCCCUCUUGCAGUGCCCAGGGCUUUUUCUAGCUGCUCUACUGUGCCUUCACGUCCUGACAUUCUAUCUUCUACUUGCUCCAUUCUCCUAAGGAAGGUUUUUCAUUGAGUCUUCUCAAUGUGCGCUAGGAUCACAAGAGAGCCACUGCGAUGAAAAUGAGAACGCAGCCACUGGACUGAGUGAUGCCCUUGCAUGUACAGAAAACUUGCUACAUCCCUUCAGCUUGCUAAGCCUUCCCGGAGGCCUUGAAGGAAGGACAAAGAGACCACAGUGCAGUUUGGUCUCUACCAAAAUGCCACGGGUGACCUUGCAAUACUCCCCAAGGGGUCCUCCCCUUCUUUACAUAACAGCCAUUUAAACUCAGCCUGUGGGUCUAGAAUAGCCUUUAAAACAUAUGUCACCGGGCAGAGCUGUUCUGGCUAGGUUCUGCUCUGGUCUGGUUCUCUCCACCAAGACUGGAGUCCUCACACAGUAAAAGCUGCUGCUGCCUGAAGGCGCCCCUUGUCCAGAACUAUUGCCUUGGACGUGAUCCCAGCAUCAGAAAAGUAAAUGAUAUAGUGGCCAAUUUCUGCAUUGGACAGAAAUCGAGGAUGUGGACCUAUUUAGAAAUAGUUCUUUGGGAAGAAUCCAGUCUGCGUUGCCAGGAAAUCAGCAGUCCAGUUCACUCACGUCAGCAGUGGCAGCUCAAUCCACUCACAAACACCACUCACAGAUCUGCAAUGACAGCGCAAUCCAGAAAAAACUGCAAGGUUCUGAGCAAAGAGGGGCAAGGUGAACCAACACCAGACAGCACUGUCAGCGAAGACCAGCAACGGCCAAGCCCAACAUGUCCAGCAAAGAGUGGCAAGGGUUGAAAUCAGCUCUCUUGUCUAUCAGAAGGUUUACUAAGCUGAAUGAAAGAAAUGUGGAGGGCUAACAAGAGGCCAUACUCGCAGGGUGUGGACGAGAAGAGACCGGUAGUUCUAUAGAAGGUACGAAUGCAGUGGUCCUGAGGCCGCGGGUGUACCGCUCUGCACUCUGAGCUCUUCCCAUCACAGAUAUGGCAGUUACUUCCCGUCUGCUGUGCUUGCAGUUGUGGCAAGCAUGUGGGUCAUGGCUGUUUAGAUGCUUAUUAUAAGCAAUUAAAGCAUC